GAUGAAGAACGUAGCGAAAUGCGAUACUUGGUGUGAAUUGCAGAAUCCCGUGAACCAUCGAGUCUUUGAACGCAAGUUGCGCCCGAAGCCAUUAGGCCGAGGGCACGCCUGCCUGGGCGUCACACGUCGUUGCCCCCCCAUCUACUCCUUCGGGAUUGCGGGGGGCGGAUGAUGGCCUCCCGUGCGCCUCGCCGCGCGGUUGGCAUAAAUGCCAAGUCCUCGGCGACGCACGCCACGACAAUCGGUGGUUGCGAAACCUCGGUUGCCCGUCGUGUGCGGUCGUCGCGCAUCGAGGGCUCGAAAAAAUUGCCGGGUUCCGGCUCGGCUUUCAACGCGACCCCAGGUCAGGCGGGGUUACCCGCUGAUUUUAAGCAUAUCAAUAAGCGGAGGA
rnacentral:misc_RNA from 1 species